CGGGGACUUGGCGAGGAGGGUGGUGGCCGCCUCCUUCGCGGCGGGCGCGCCGGUGUCGAUGAGGCGCUCGACGAUCGUCUCGACGGUCUCGGCC
rnacentral:tRNA from 1 species